rnacentral:rRNA from 1 species
UACGUAGGGUGCAAGCGUUGUCCGGAAUUAUUGGGCGUAAAGAGCUCGUAGGCGGUUUGUCGCGUCGGCUGUGAAAGCCCGGAGCUCAACUCCGGGUCUGCAGUCGAUACGGGCAGACUUGAGUGUUGCAGGGGAGACUGGAAUUCCUGGUGUAGCGGUGAAAUGCGCAGAUAUCAGGAAGAACACCCGUGGCGAAGGCGGCUCUCUGGGACGGUACUGACGCUGAGACGCGAAAGCGUGGGGAGCGAACAGG